CCCCUCUCAGGGUCGCACCUGGAGAGUUUCCAGUACCCUACCAGGCUUGGCUACGGGAGGGAGAGUCAAGCAGAGGCCUACCCAUUCCAUUCCUAGCUUGGCCAGUGGCUAGCGAGUAGAAGGUGAUCUGCUACAGGU
rnacentral:snoRNA from 1 species